GCCGAAGUAGCUCAGUGGUAGAGCAACGCUCUCGUAAAGCGUAGGUCGUGGGUUCAAAUCCCAUCUUCGGCU
rnacentral:tRNA from 2 species